UCCGAUGUAGUGUAACGGCUANACGCUUUCACCGUGGAGACCGGGGUUCGACUCCCCGUAUCGGAA
rnacentral:tRNA from 1 species